rnacentral:rRNA from 1 species
GACGAACGCUGGCGGCGUGCUUAACACAUGCAAGUCGAACGGAAAGGCCCUGCUUUUGUGGGGUGCUCGAGUGGCGAACGGGUGAGUAACACGUGAGUAACCUGCCCUUGACUUUGGGAUAACUUCAGGAAACUGGGGCUAAUACCGGAUAGGAGCUCCUGCUGCAUGGUGGGGGUUGGAAAGUUUCGGCGGUUGGGGAUGGACUCGCGGCUUUUCAGCUUGUUGGUGGGGUAGUGGCUUACCAAGGCUUUGACGGGUAGCCGGCCUGAGAGGGUGACCGGCCACAUUGGGACUGAGAUACGGCCCAGACUCCUACGGGAGGCAGCAGUGGGGAAUAUUGCACAAUGGGCGGAAGCCUGAUGCAGCAACGCCGCGUGCGGGAUGACGGCCUUCGGGUUGCAAACCGCUUUCGCCUGUGACGAAGCGUGAGUGACGGUAAUGGGUAAAGAAGCACCGGCUAACUACGUG